AUCCAACUGACGAGUCCUAAAUAGGAUGAAACGUGCAUCCUGAAU
rfam:Schistosoma haematobium scaffold1358_11, whole genome shotgun sequence.